rnacentral:rRNA from 1 species
UACGUAGGGGGCCAGCGUUGUCCGAAGUUACUGGGCGUAAAGAGCGCGUAGGCGGGCCCUUAAGUGGGGGGUGAAAGGUUGGGGCUCAACCCCAACACUGCCUUUCAUACUGGGGGCCUUGAGUGCGGGAGAGGCGAGUGGAAUGGUCGGUGUAGCGGUGAAAUGCGUAGAUAUCGAUCGGAACACCCAUGGCGAAGGCAGCUCGCUGGCCUGCAACUGACGCUGAGGCGCGAAAGCUAGGGGAGCAAACGGG